rnacentral:misc_RNA from 1 species
AAGUCGUAACAAGGUUUCCGUAGGUGAACCUGCGGAAGGAUCAUUGCAGAGAACUGCCUCCGGGCAAAUCUCCCCACCCUUUGUCUACUAUGCCUUGUUGCUUUGGCAGGCCCGCCCUUAGGGCCGCCGGCUCUGCUGGCCAGCGCCUGCCAGAGGAUCACAACUCGAGUUAGUGUCGUCUGAGCAUCAUUAAAUAGUUAAAA